rnacentral:rRNA from 1 species
UUGAAGUAAACAAUAUACCCUUUUUGGAGUCGCCCAUCCUCGCAGUCAUGCUACAUGACGGCCAGAUCAGUACUCAGGUGGGUGACCACUGGGGAAUCCCUGGUGUUGUAUGUUUUUG